rnacentral:rRNA from 1 species
UUAUUAGAGGUAGAGCUACUGAUUGGGCUAGGGGGCUUCACCGCCUACCAAACCCUGACAAACUCCGAAUGCUAGUAAAUAUCUCCGGGAGUGAGGCUGUGGGCGCUAAGGUCCAUGGCCGAGAGGGAAAUAACCCAGAUUAACAGCUAAGGUCCCUAAUAGAUAGUUAAGUUGAUCAAACGAAGUUUGAACCCUAUAACAGCCAGGAUGUUGGCUUGGAAG